GCGGGAAUAGCUCAGUGGUAGAGCAUCACCUUGCCAAGGUGGGGGUCGCGGGUUCAAAUCCCGUUUCCCGCUCCA
rnacentral:tRNA from 2 species